rnacentral:rRNA from 1 species
AGAGUGAACGCUGGCGGCAGGCCUAACACAUGCAAGUCGAACGGCAGCACAGAGGAGCUUGCUCCUUGGGUGGCGAGUGGCGGACGGGUGAGGAAUACAUCGGGAUCUGCCUUAUCGUGGGGGAUAACGUAGGGAAACUUACGCUAAUACCGCAUACGACCUACGGGUGAAAGCGGAGGACCUUCGGGCUUCGCGCGAUAAGAUGAGCCGAUGUCGGAUUAGCUAGUUGGCGGGUAAAGCCCACAAGGCGACGAUCCGUAGCUGGUCUGAGAGGAUGAUCAGCCACACUGGAACUG